AGCAGCCGCGGUAAUUCCAGCUCCAAUAGCGUAUAUUAAAGUUGUUGCAGUUAAAAAGCUCGUAGUUGAAUUUCGGGAUUGGCGCAUCGGUCGUGCCUCACGGGGUAUGAACUGGUGCAGUCAAUUUCUCACCUUCUGGAGAACCGCGAUGUCCUUAAUUGGAUGCCGCGGGGAACCAGGACCUUUACUUUGAAAAAUUAGAGUGUUUAAAGCAGGCAUUUUUGCUUGAAUACAUUAGCAUGGAAUAAUAAAAUAGGACGGCAUGGUUCUAUUUUGUUGGUUUCUAGGACCACCGUAAUGAUUAAUAGGGAUAGUUGGGGGCAUUAGUAUUCAAUUGUCAGAGGUGAAAUUCUUGGAUUUAUUGAAGACUAACUACUGCGAAAGCAUUUGCCAAGGAUGUUUUCAUUAAUCAAGAACGAAAGUUAGGGGAUCGAAGACGAUCAGAUACCGUCGUAGUCUUAACCAUAAACUAUGCCGACUAGGAAUCAGACGAUGUUAAUUUUUUAAUGACUCGUUUGGC
rnacentral:sRNA from 1 species